ACGGGAGGCAGCAGUGAGGAAUAUUGGUCAAUGGGCGAGAGCCUGAACCAGCCAAGUAGCGUGAAGGAUGACUGCCCUAUGGGUUGUAAACUUCUUUUGUUCGGGAAUAAAGGAGCCUACGCGUAGGCUUUUGCAUGUACCGUUCGAAUAAGCAUCGGCUAAUUCCGUGCCAGCAGCCGCGGUAAUACGGAAGAUGCGAGCGUUAUCCGGAUUUAUUGGGUUUAAAGGGAGCGUAGGCGGCCUUUUAAGUCAGCGGUCAAAUGUCAGCGCCCAACGCUGGCCUGCCGUUGAUACUGAUGGGCUUGAAUACACACAAGGAAGGUGGAAUUCGUCGUGUAGCGGUGAAAUGCUUAGAUAUGGCGAAGAACUCCGAUUGCGUAGGCAGCUGACCAAGCCGUAAAUGACGCUCAUGCACGAAAGUGCGGGGAUCGAACAGGAUUAGAUACCCUGGUA
rnacentral:rRNA from 1 species